CCUACGGGAGGCAGCAGUGAGGAAUAUUGGUCAAUGGGCGCAAGCCUGAUGCAGCAACGCCGCGUGAGCGAAGAAGGUCUUCGGAUCGUAAAGCUCUGUUCUUGAGGAAGAAGGAAGUGACGGUACUCAAGGAGGAAGCAGCGGCUAACUACGUGCCAGCAGCCGCGGUAAUACGUAGGGGGCAAGCGUUAUCCGGAAUGAUUGGGCGUAAAGAGUACGUAGGUGGUUUUGUAAGCGCGGGGUAAAAGGCAGUGGCUUAACCAUUGUAAGCCUUGCGAACUGCAAGACUUGAGUGCAGGAGAGGAAAGCGGAAUGCCUGGUGUAGCGGUGAAAUGCUUAGAUAUUAGGAAGAACACCAGUGGCGAAGGCAGCUUUCUGGACUGUAACUGACACUGAGGUACGAAAGCGUGGGGAGCAAACAGGAUUAGAUACCCUGGUAGUC
rnacentral:rRNA from 1 species